rnacentral:rRNA from 1 species
UACGUAGGGUGCAAGCGUUAAUCGGAAUUACUGGGCGUAAAGCGUGCGCAGGCGGUGAUGUAAGACAGAUGUGAAAUCCCCGGGCUCAACCUGGGAACUGCAUUUGUGACUGCACAGCUGGAGUGCGGCAGAGGGGGAUGGAAUUCCGCGUGUAGCAGUGAAAUGCGUAGAUAUGCGGAGGAACACCGAUGGCGAAGGCAAUCCCCUGGGCCUGCACUGACGCUCAUGCACGAAAGCGUGGGGAGCAAACAGG